UACGGAGGAUCCAAGCGUUAUCCGGAUUUAUUGGGUUUAAAGGGUGCGUAGGCGGCGUGCUAAGUCAGUGGUGAAAGACGGUGGCUCAACCAUCGCAGUGCCGUUGAUACUGGCGCGCUUGAAUGCGGAUGAGGUAGGCGGAAUGUGGCAAGUAGCGGUGAAAUGCAUAGAUAUGCCACAGAACACCGAUUGCGAAGGCAGCUUACCAAGGCGCGAUUGACGCUGAUGCACGAAAGCGUGGGGAUCGAACAGG
rnacentral:rRNA from 1 species